UUUUAGAAGAGUUAUCAAGAGCUCCAGCCUACUUCACAGGGUGAGGAACGAAUUCACCGAGGAUGCUAAUAAGCAGCACAGGAUUUGUACUGGGCACUCUCAAGAAACAGUUAAGAUACAACUUGACAUGAAACUGCUCAACCUGGGCAGCACCCUAAUUCAAGGCUAAUGGAAUAAGGUACAUUUUAAUGUAGAUUCAAUUCAAGGCACAUUUAACCUAGUAAAACCGGCAGAGGAGAUCUGGUGCUGUUUGUUUUGAUAUUCACAGCCAUUGAUACUCCCACUUCAGCUGAAGGACUAAAGAGGAAACCUGUUCUUAGACUGAGAACUGUAACAAAAGUGCGAACUUUCCCUUCAGGGAGUCCUCCCCAUCAGCUGAAUGACCUUUCUUUUCCAGGUACUUCCCACUAGCUGUCACCACGGAAGUCACCACCUGCCCCCCUUUCCCUUGCAAGGGUUACUAACAGUGAUCCCAUCUGGUCACCACAAAGUCAGUAGGAAACUCAGGCUGAAGACACACUGAAAACCUAGCACCACACAAGAGCUCAUCGCAGCAACCUUAGUUUUACUUCCUUCUGGAAAAAGAUGAACAGCACUUUCUUCUCCUUUCACUGACAUUCAGUUGAAAAGGAUCCCAGGUACACUCUAUGACUGGAGGUAGUGGCGCUUAUUGAAACUGGAACCUUCAUAGUGAUUAGUACGUUUGCUCAAACCUGUAAGACUGAAGUGUGAUAAGUGUCUUGGCUUGAGUACUAACCGGAAGGAAAACAUCUACCUGUUACAAAUGUAGGAGCCUGCUGCACCUGCAGCUGUUGCCUGAAUGUUUUGGGUGCUAUUCACAGCUCAGCGCAGCAUCCAUCAGGUGAAUGGGUACAACUGCAGAAGUGGCUCCAGGAACCAGGAACCGCCCUGCAUCUUACCUGCACCCUCGCCUGUCACUCAGGAGUCUCUCCAUGACUUUGCAACUGCCUUAUGGGGCUGAUCUGGUAUUAGAUAUCUGAUAUCAAUGGAUAUCAGAUCUCGGGUAGGGCUGAUCCCUUUUGAAAUUAAGGACACCUUAGGAAGAUUAAGGGAAACAGUCAGGAGAUGAAAGUGGUGGCCAGGAAAUAAAAUGUUCGCCUGAGUGGAUUUCAAUUCAGUCAGUAAGUACUUGCUUCACGGUCUCCCUUCCACACCCUGUUCUUUGCCUUCUUAGCACUUAUCACAGCUCAUAAUCAGAGUGUGUUUAAUCUGUCUCCUCCCACACUGGAAGCUCCAGGAACACAGGGACUGUGUCUGCCUUGCUCACCACCGAGUCUCCAGCACCAAAAACAGUGCCUGAACAUAGCGGGCAGUCAAGAAAAGCUUGUCUGUUCAUUCAACAAAUGCCUAUCGAUGCCAAUGACUGCCAAGGACUGCGUUAAGGUACUUACUCUCAGAGGUUGACAGUCCUUGGUGGAGACAAACAAUAAACAAGUAAAUGGACAAACAAAUGUUUAUUAUUACUUGUUGGGGAGACAGCUUCCACUCGACAAACAAUGACUGAGUUCUUAAGUCCUUACACACAAUGGUAUGUACAGCAUUAAGCAUCAGUGACCAAAACACAAAAAUCCCUCUCCUCAAGCAGAUGACAUCCAGCUCCUUCCCAUUUCUGGCUCUGUCUGGGCUCCUCCUGUUCCCUCCAACAAGGACCCUCUCCCCAGAUCUUCCCCACGGCUGGCUCCUUUCUAUUUGGGUCUCAGCUGAAAUAUCACCUUCUCCGGGAGGCUUCCUCGACAAUCCCUUCACACUCACCUCCCGCCCGAAUCACCUUCACAUCACCCCGUUUCUUCUUUAUGGCAAACCUUUUCUGGUUGACCUAUUUAUUUGGUUAAUGCGCCCCCCUAACCCCCGUAAAGUUCCAAAAGGACUCCAAGAGGCCUUUGUGGGAUUUGUUCUCCCGCUGAGCUCGGUGCCCGGAGCUGAUGAAGACCACACGGGCGAUCCUAACUAACUGGGGCAGAGCAGCCGCCGACCACACAGACGGCCGGCGACCCUGGAGUCAGCCCCGCGCUCCGGGAAGCUUUGGCCGCUGAGCUGGGGUGUCAUCUUCCCCGUCUGGACAAUGGGGACGGGGCGCGCCCUUCCUCGGUGCU